GAAGAGAAAAUCUCUAAUAAUUUAUUGACCUUCAGUUUCACAUUGUGAAAAAAAAAAAUAACAGUUUUACAAAACCUCAAAAUGUAGUCAUAGCAAACAAGUACAUAUGAACAUGAACAUUUUCCUUCAACUUAUACAGUUUUGUACGUGAACCACAUGGUCAAUAGCCAAGAGAGGGACAUUAUGCGGCUCUAAUCACUCUUAUUCAAGACAGGUGUCAAGCCCAGAGAAAAGCGGCUACACAAUUAUACCAGAAGUGGAGGGCUGCCCUUUGUUAUGUGUUUCUACAGCAACCAGCCCACAAAAUAAGAAGAACCUUCUCUGUCUUAUGCCAAGGUUUUUGUGUGUACUGUGCUGUGAAUUGUAUUUGCUUCAAAGUGUGGGACGUUUCACAGGGUGAGAAUGGUCAAGUAGUGAGACCAAAUGCCUGUAUCAAUUCAAAGAGCAGGAGUCCAGAAAGUUCCCUGCAGGCUGGGGGCCCAACCCUUACCACAGCUCCCUCUGGCUCACACACAGUAAUUAAUAGAGGAUUCAAGGACAGAGCCCAACUUUGAAACAGCUGCAGAAAAUCCAUCCUGCCUUCAGAAGCCAUGCAGUGACACAUACAUCUCUCUUGGCAGAUUUGCAUCAUAAACUACAGAGCUGUAACUGCUACAAUAUAAACGACACUGACUAUGCCCACUGGGGGACAAUUAGACAUUUGCAUUGCUUAGAACACAUCUAGGAACCAGGGACUGACUGCUGGAAAGUACUGUGAUUCUUUUCUUCCAACAGCUCAUUUAUUUUGGCCCAACUACAGCCCACUCAUUCAUGGCAUGGACGGACAAGCACAAUUAGUCUAAAGUACUAAGGUGGAGAGAAAUGUUAAGGAUUUAUCUGUCAUUAGACAAUGCAAACACGGUCACAAUGUAAAAGGUUGUUAUCAGUCUUAACCCCUAUUUUCUAAAAUACAGCAAUGUGAGAAACGUGGACGAAAGCAGUUCAAGUUGCAAACUUUGGUCUUCCCCCGCACCUCGGGGGAAGCACCUAUUUGAGACUAGCACUAAUACCUACGACGGCACAUGCUUAGUAAACAAGCACUCCAACUAGCAAAGAAUGUAUUCACAACUGAUUUCCAACUCUGCCGGAAACCUUCUCAAUAGGGGCCACUGCUUACAAUUCUUUGGUGUUUUGUGGCCAAAUGUGUUACUCGUGCACCAAAGAGUUUUUUAAAAAGAGAUUUGCCUAAGGGUGAGCACUGAAGUAUACAUUGUGCCAAUGUAAUUAUUUUCUUGGAGACCUUCUAGAACUUGCUAAAUCAUAUAGCAAGAAGAGAAGGAGUUCGGGUCAAGAAAUCUGGUGAGUUAAUUUCCAUCUGUGAUACUUCCGUUUUUCCCAUUAACUGUGGUUGUGGCAAAGCAUUCUCAUAAGGUAAUAAAUAAAUAAAUAAACUUUGGACAAUGCCUUUACCUGUGUCCUAUAUACAGAACUAUUCCAUAGAAUUUUCCAGGAUUUCAAGAUAUUACACAAAGAAAAAAACUGUAAAGCAAUUUGGUCCUUUCCAAAUGUCAGCAGCUGAGACUGAAUUAGGUAAAUCAGAUGGGAGUGGGGAGAAGGGCAGAAAGAAGCCUCCCCUUACCCCAUCAGCACAACCAAACCCCAUGAAAUCCCAUUAAAAUCUGGUGAGUCUGAGAAAAGUGAUCUCCACGGUUUUUCUACCUCUAGGAUGUCAUUUAAAUUUCCAUUUUGUCAUCCUUCCCUGUCUUGACAUUUUUAAAAUCCACCCCUCCCCAACCCACCCUCCAGUUAUACUCCAAAUUGUAACUCAAAAGUUUUCAUGUUUGUGCAGCAAAGCACAUCUCAACAGCCACAAAAUGUGCAAAACAUACAACCAUUCACACACGUCCAUACAUGUGAAGACAGCUGUAGGCA
ensembl:lncRNA